rnacentral:tmRNA from 1 species
GGGGCUGAUUCUGGAUUCGACGGGAUUUGCGAAACCCAAGGUGCAUGCCGAGGGGCGGUUGGCCUCGUAAAAAGCCGCAAAAAAUAGUCGCAAACGACGAAAACUACGCUUUAGCAGCUUAAUAACCUGCUUAGAGCCCUCUCUCCCUAGCCUCCGCUCUUAGGACGGGGAUCAAGAGAGGUCAAACCCAAAAGAGAUCGCGUGGAAGCCCUGCCUGGGGUUGAAGCGUUAAAACUUAAUCAGGCUAGUUUGUUAGUGCCGUGUCCGUCCGCAGCUGGCAAGCGAAUGUAAAGACUGACUAAGCAUGUAGUACCGAGGAUGUAGGAAUUUCGGACGCGGGUUCAACUCCCGCCAGCUCCACCA